rnacentral:lncRNA from 1 species
AUACAGUCUACAGUAUCAGAGGUACUUAGCCCCCUACCUCUUGGGCCAUAUGUUGAGAGGCAUGUUAUCUCAGGCCUCCUGCCUGGAUUUGUUUGCAAGCUUCCAAUUCUGCCUCCAAUAGGGGAUUCCUCUUAAGAACUCCCACUCAGAAGCUACCUCAUAGAUAUCAUAAUGUCAAAACGCAGAGAAGAAGAUGUCUUCCCUGCCCUCUGCAAUUCUAGGCUCUCCCUCGAAUGCUAAUUUACUGAGUGAGAUACAGGGUCUUGCUCUGUUGGCCCAGGCUGGAGUGCAGUGACGUGAUCUCGGCUCACGACAACCUCUGCCUCCGGGGUUCAAGGGAUUCAGGGACGUGACAUUACAUCAGGCAUGCUACAUGCUCUUGUGAAGAUGUGUGCAAGGCCUCCUGCCGCUGUCACAUUCUGAGUCUGUGAAACAAUGCCUGACUUUGGCAGCCCUUGGACACCGUGUGCUUUCACAGGCAUUGUCACAACUGUGCUGAGAGACGCGUUGUUCUUCCCAUUGGUUGGAGGUCAAGGGACUUGUCUAACGACACACGGCUAUUAAGUAGCAGAACUGGGCUUGAAUUCAGA